rnacentral:rRNA from 1 species
CGGAGGAAACAUGUGGUUUAAUUCGAUGAUACGCGAGGAACCUUACCCGGGCUUGAAUUGCAGAGGAAGGAUUUGGAGACAAUGAACGCCCUUCGGGGUCUCUGUGAAGGUGCUGCAUGGUUGUCGUCAGCUCGUGCCGUGAGGUGUCGGCUUAAAGUGCCAUAACGAGCGCAACCCCUCUCCUUAGUUGCCAUCAGGUGAAGCUGGGCACUCUGGGGACACUGCCACCGUAAGGUGUGA